rnacentral:misc_RNA from 1 species
CAGAAGCUGAAAAUAGAUUCUUGGAGUCACUGAUGUCUGGAAAUAUAAGCAAUUCAUCUCAAGGUUUGCAAGGAUAUGUUGGAAACAGUUCUGCUAGUAUUGCCCCAUCGGGUGUUGAUGGUGGAAAUGACCUGUAUCUUUUGGCAAAGAGAAUGGCACUUGAACGUCAGAGGUCAUUACAUAAUCCUUAUCCAUAUUGGCCUGGGAGGGAUGCUGCACCUGUGGCUUCAAAAUCAGAAGUUCUCUCAGACUCUCCAAUGCCACAUGCAAAACUCUUAUCUUCAUUAAGCGACAAUCCUCGUCAGCCCCCUCAUUCUCAGAAUGCUGACCUGUUGUCCAUCCUUCAAGGCUCUGCCUCUGGCAUUAAUAAUGAUGUUACUGGUUGGUCAAAUUUCCCUGCCCAAGGAAGUCUGGAUCCUCUUCAGGAUAAGAUUGACUUGCAUCAUACCCAGAAUUUCCCCCCACAAGCUACCUUUGGGCAACAACAGAGGCUUCAGCCACAGAGACCACCCUCCUUAGCAAAUCUACUUGGUCAAGCAAUAGAUAGUCCAUCUGGUGUUUUGACACCUGAAGCUUUACUCUCCCCCAGUUUAUCUCAAGAUCCACAAUUGCUAAAUAUGUUGCAACAGCAGUACUUGUUGCAGUUACAUUCCCAGGCUCCUCUUCCAGCACAGCAGCUGUCAGUGUUGGAUAAGUUUUUGUUGCUUAAACAGCAGCAGAAACAGGAGGAGCAACAGUUGCUGAGACAACAGCAGCUGCUUUCUCAGGUUUUGUCGGAACAUCAUUCUCACCAACUUUUUGGAGAGCCACCAUAUGGACAGUUCCAUUCUUCUGCAAUAGCUACAGGAAACAUAUCUGCUGAUGCUUCUCGGCUUCAGCCAUCAAAAGAAAUGCUGCAGAUUGGUUCUCAGAUACCUGUUUCAAAUUUUCAAGAUGAACACCCUCCUGGCUUGAUGAAUUUUCCUCCACAAGUUACUCAGGAUGUUAGUUGUAAUGUUGAUACAGGAGUAUCUUCUUUCCAACUUUCGCAUCAGAUGUUUGGGAAUGUUAAUAGUCAACAAGGUUGGGGUACUAUCCCUGAACANNNNNNGCACCAGAAGGAAUCCUUGCUAGCAUCAUCACCUGUAGAGAUAUCAUCUUCACAAGAGUUGAUGGACAAAUCUACACAGGAGUGUUCCAUUGUGCCUGAACCUGUACAUGCUUCUGAUCACCAUGCUCCUCUUUCUGUGGAGCAGGCAUCAGAAUACACUUGGAUUGAAGAAACUUCACAGGUUGCAAUUCCUGAGAUUACUGCAAAUGCUGUACAACUGGAUUCCGCUGGGAUCUCGGUUACUAGACCUCUAUCAGGAACUCAUGAGGAUGAAAUUACAAAGCUUGAACAUGCCUGUGCGAUGAAAGUUCAGCUAGAUGGCACUCUUGGUGAGCAGCAGGUUGAAAAAGAAAGGUCCAGUGAUGAGCCCUCAGUGCCUGUGGAGGCAGAUGUGAAAAAAGUUGAAGUUCACGAGGCAAGAAAAGCUUCUGAGAAGAAACCCAGAAAGCAAAAAUCUGCUAAAUCAAAGUCUACAGACCAGAUAAAGGGAACAUCUAAGAAUUCCACUGUGCAGCAAAUAAGGCAAUCAGAAAGUGAAAGGCCAAAUUUUGGUGACAACAAAUUUGAGUCUCAUAAUGGAGCAGGAGAAAAUCUUCAUGGCACGCCACCAGAAAAGAUAAGAGACAACAAGUUUGGGAUUUCUUCUGCAGAAAUUAAGUAUUCCCAACCAGAUAAAAGUUUUAUGUCUUCAGAUUUUACUACGGAUGACGCUGAAAUCACAGAAAAUGAUGAAUCUAAACCUGUUGUGUCUGUUUCAAUUCUCAAUGCCCAGGUAAAUGUGGGGCAACGAGCUUGGAAACCUGCACCUGGUUUCAAACCAAAAUCAUUGUUGGAAAUUCAACUGGAAGAACAGAGAAAGGCAAAG